rnacentral:rRNA from 1 species
GAUGAACGCUGGCGGCGUGCCUAAUACAUGCAAGUCGAGCGAACGGACGAGAAGCUUGCUUUUCUGAUGUUAGCGGCGGACGGGUGAGUAACACGUGGAUAACCUACCUAUAAGACUGGGAUAACUUCGGGAAACCGGAGCUAAUACCGGAUAAUAUUUUGAACUGCAUGGUUCAAAAGUGAAAGACGGUCUUGCUGUCACUUAUAGAUGGAUCCGCGCUGCAUUAGCUAGUUGGUAAGGUAACGGCUUACCAAGGCAACGAUGCAUAGCCGACCUGAGAGGGUGAUCGGCCACACUGGAACUAAGACACGGUCCAGACUCCUACGGGAGGCAGCAGUAGGGAAUCUUCCGCAAUGGGCGAAAGCCUGAAGGAGCAACGCCGCGUGAGUGAUGAAGGUCUUCGGAUCGUAAAACUCGGUUAUUAGGGAAGAACAUAUGUGUAAGUAACUGUGCACAUCUUGACGGUACCUAAUCAGAAAGCCACGGCUAACUACGUG